CUGAGAUGAGGCUUCUUUCUCUCCAGUUCUCUAAUUUUUGGGGAAACCAAGAGUUCCUUACCACAGAAGAGGGCAUUACACUAUUUCCUGUCUUCAAAAUUUAGGCUUCCAUUGUUCUCUAAUUUGAUAUUUAUAACUUAAGUUCUGGACCUUUUAUUCACAGAUUGCUAAAAGUUGUGCAGGAAACUCCACAUGAUAAAAUGUGUUGAUAGCACGUAAUUCUGUCCAUGCUACUGAUGACAUUUUUAACUUUGGAGGAUCCUCAUUUUACAUAAUAAGAUACAAAACUAAGUGGGCACCCUCUAUCCAGUCUGGGGCACUUCAUUAAAGACCUAAGUUUGCUGCUGUCAUUUGCUUUUCUUCAUGACACCUUUGAACCACCUAAAUAUUGCCAGCACCCUCUUUUGGGACCCUGACAUCUGAGAGGGCCAGUAGGUUUGUGUACGCCCGUCUGACCCCAGCCAUGUAGUGCCGGUGUUCCCUCUGAAGUGUGAUUCUGGUGUUUCAAGUGCACGUGAAAACCCAAGAUCUUCCGAAAGCCCAGCAUUGGCUCAGAGGCUGCAGGGGAGUCAGUGCAGUGGGAUCCACAUUUUGAGCUCUGCAUCAAUUACGGUCUGUUUCCUCUGGUCU